CUUAAAGCCUCCCUUUAGAUACUGAAAGGCCACUGGCAGGUCUCCCUGGAACCUUCUCUUCUCCAGGCUGAACAGUGUGGUAUCUCAUGCCAUGUUCCACCUUUUCUUUUUCUCUGUUUCCAUAUUGAAACUGUGAGCGGGAAGUCGACACAAGGGGCCAUGAAAAGAAAGGCCAUGGUAUUUUUUGCUGAGAAUGUGUUUUUGGGGUCCUGUUUGAUACUCAUGAAAGAAAAUUGCUCUUUUCAGUUUUCCAACUCUGGGCCAGACCCAGGGGCUAGCAGACCCCAUAGUUGUACCCCACAGCCUGAUCUGCACCGGACACCUUCCUCUUGCUGCCGCUUUUGUCUUAAACCAGGCUCCCGUGUCAUGGUCCUGCUGGGUGUUGAAGCCUUCUAUCUGCCCCAAUGGCCCAGGAUGAUGGCUAUGGUUGGUGAGGUGGCUGGUGGGUGCCCAAAAGUGCUGUGGGGCUUACCCUCCGCCACCUCUCUCCUUAGCCCCUGGCCAUGCACGAUCAGACUGGAAGCAGCACAACUGAGAGCCAUUUGCUCUGUCUGAGUGUGCACGUGUUUUAUGGAGUGGUGACAACAUGAUGUACACAUUUCAACCAGAUGUGAUGGCUGUGUAGCAUAGUAGCACCAGGGACGCUCGACUGCGCAGGGCUGGAAGCAGUGGCACAGGAAGUCUGGUCCCAUAUUUACCUUUCCCUGCAGCUACGUCCUGGGGUAAGGAGGAUGGAGCUGGGCCACUGCUGGCGUGGGAGACUCCAUGGGCACACUGAGCUGAAGGAAACAAAACAAUGAAGAUGCUUUGGGGAAGAACAGCAAGGAGAAGCCCUCAAAGGAGAAGCCUUAAAAUUAUCUGACUGCCUGAGCCUUCUCUUGAAGCACAGGAGCUGGUGUAGAGCCCAUGAAGAUCUGUGCCACUCCUGAUCACUGCUGGCCCUGGCUGGUGCUUGAAUACUUGUAAUAGGGUCUAGACAAAGGUUAGAGAUGCUCGGAUUGGUAAGCUGUGCCAGGAGAGGAUUAGCUGGGUGUUAGGAAAAGUUCUUGAUCAGAGUGUGGUUGGGUUCUGGAACAGGCUUCCCAGGGCCGUGGUCGUGACCCCAAGCUGCUGGAGUUCUUGGACAGUGCCCUCAGACAUAAGUGUUGAAUUUUGUGCGGUGCUGUGUGGAGCCAGAAGUUGGACUCAGUGAUCCUUGUGGCUUCCUUCCAGCUUGGGACAUCGUGGAAUCAUAGAAUGGCUUGACUUGGAAGGGACUCCAAGGAUCAUCAAGUUCCAACCCUCCUGCCACAGGCAGGGGCACCAACCU
ensembl:lncRNA